rnacentral:tRNA from 1 species
GCAGUGGUGGUUCGGUGGUAGAAUUCUUGCUUUCCAUGCAGGGGACCCUGGUUCAAAUUUCCAGUCAUUGUA